AGCAGCCGCGGUAAUUCCAGCUCCAAUAGCGUAUAUUAAAGUUGUUGCAGUUAAAAGCUCGUAGUUGAAUUUCGGGGUCAGUAGGUUGGUCAUGCCACUGGUAUGUACUGGUCUCACUGAUUCCUCCUUCCUGAUGAACUGUAAUGCCAUUAAUUUGGUGUUGCAGGGAAUCUGGACUGUUACUUUGAAAAAUUAGAGUGUUUGUUUAAAGCAGGCAUUUUUGCUCGAAUACAUCAGCAUGGAAUAAUAGAAUAGGACGGCAUGGUUCUAUUUUGUUGGUUUCUAGGAUCACCGUAAUGAUUAAUAGGGAUAGUUGGGGGCAUUAGUAUUCAAUUGUCAGAGGUGAAAUUCUUGGAUUUAUUGAAGACUAACUACUGCGAAAGCAUUUGCCAAGGAUGUUUUCAUUAAUCAAGAACGAAAGUUAGGGGAUCUGAAGACGAUCAGAUAGCCGUCGUAGUCUUAACCAUAAACUAUGCCGACUAGGGAUCGGAUGAUGUU
rnacentral:rRNA from 1 species